rnacentral:rRNA from 1 species
GGUACACGCUGUGACUAGCAUAUCAAUAAGCGGAGGAAAAGAAACUAACAGGGAUUCCCCUAGUAACGGCGAGUGAAGCGGGAAGAGCUCAAAUUUGAAAUCUUAAAGGGUUUCCCUUUACGAAUUGUAGUUUAAAGAAGUGUUUUCUGUUGAGGUUUUGGUAAAAGUUCUUUGGAAUAGGACAUCAUAGAGGGUGAGAAUCCCGUAUUUGGACCUUUACUUUCAACUUUGUGAUACACUUUCAAAGAGUCGGAUUGUUUGGGAAUGCAGUCCAAAAUGGGUGGUAUAUUUCAUCUAAAGCUAAAUAUUGGCGAGAGACCGAUAGCGAACAAGUACCGUGAGGGAAAGAUGAAAAGAACUUUGAAAAGAGAGUUAAACAGUACGUGAAAUUGUCAAAAGGGAAGCGUUUGACACCAGUGUUGUUUUUCUGAAAAUCAAUUAAAGAACUGUUUAUGCUAAGUUGUUUAGACUUUAUCAGCUAACUGUUUAGUUUUGAGCUUUUCUUUAAUGCACUUUUCAGUUAACAAGUCAACAUCAAUUUCUUUUGCUGUAAAAAAGCUUGAGGAAGGUGGCUUGAGAUUCGUCUUAAGUGUUUAUAGCCUCUUGCCUAUGCAGUCGGAGAGAUUGAGGUCUGCAGCGUAGAUCCUUCGGGGCUAAAUGCAUUUGUGCUAAGUUAUAGCAUUUUAUAGACAACUUGUUGACUAUGAUUUGUCUUGUAGCUUACUCGCUUAUGUUAUUUUACCUACGCUUAGGAUGUUGACGAGACUGUCGAUCUC